UACGAUCGGCCAUAAGGCGAGCUACCACCAAGUUUUUGACGGGAUGACUUAUGUUUGAUGUGACGCCGGUUUCCUUCUAAUUAACGAGAACUUCACUUCGAGCUUCUUAUAUGACAAGGUAAAAAUGCUUCCGCCCAGCUAAUGCUACUCAGUAGAGUGUUCGGUAUGUACAGCAGGAGUCUGGUCCCUUCCCUUCCCUAGUGUAGUCGAAGUGGCGCCUUCCUCCUCACGGUGAGGCACCCCGCUCGAGACUCCCGGAGUACCGUCCGGCGGAAUAGACGGUGCGUCCUGCGGGCCACCCGGGGUGCCUCCGGGACGGGCAACCGGCAGUACCGAGGAUAUAUCGGAGGCAGGUAGGAUAGGAGGAGAGGAAGCGUGCAUAAUGGCGCCGAGGAGGGGACCAGUGGCCGCUCUUUUUCGUUCUACCUGAUGUACUUACCCGGUCCGGCCUUGGUGGACAAGCAGGGACCCGGCCACUUGUAGGGCCUGGUCCACUAGGCGCGGUACUCGGCCGUCUUGCUCCUGAUGGCGAGCGGCCGCUAGGGACGGGAGUGGUUCUGGGACGACCUCCUGCACUUCUUCUAGAAGUUCUGGUGGUGGCCGUGGGGGAAGGAGAAGGGGUGGUGGCCGUGGCCGCGGACCCUCUCGCGCGAGUGGUUGUGCGAGAGGGGCCCCCUGGCCUAGCACAGGAAGAGCGACCCCGUCAAGUCGGACGACACCUAGCUGGUCGUCGUCGCGGAGCCGAAGUCGCACCUGCACCACCUCAGGCUGACCCCGAUGCCGCGGCUGGAGCCGCGGGAGCUCAGGUUCGAGGCGUGACUGAGCGUCGUGUGGUAGUUCCGGUAGACGUAGCAGGUGUUGCUCUGGCGGUGGCCGCAGUGGUUGCUGGAGGUGCGGCAGGCGUUCGAGGAGCUACGCAUGGCCGUGGGCCGCGACGACGACCACCUGCCCCACAGCAGGUAGACGCGCGACCUGAAGGCGUACCUGCUCACCCCGCACCUGCACCGCGACUGCCCCAGCGUCUUCCGCGACAGCGACGGCUGCCCCGACCCGUAGCACACGCGGUCGGGGUUCCGCGACCUCCGCCGGUUCUGCCGGUUCAGCCACGCGCAGAAGAAGCUGACCUUCCUGAUGGAGUUCAAGAUGUUCUACCCGUGGAUGACCGGGAUGUGCGGGAGGUAGGUCGAGGAGAUGCCGGAGGCGCGGCCGGAGCUGGAGGAGAAGCUCCUCCCGGAGCUGUUGCAGUAGUUCUCCGUGUGUGCGGAGCCGUGGCGUUGUUCCGACCGCCACCGCCGCACCCCCGAGUUCUUGACGUGGCGCUUCCUCCUCUUGAAGUCGCUGUGCCAGUGGCGGCAGCAGCACGGCGGCAUGUAGCUGUCGAGGCUCUAGCAGUUCGUGCGCACCUUCGCCAUGUUGGAGUCGGAGCCCGAGCCCGAGUUGUUCCAGCGGCCGUUCCAGAAGUCCUAGCCGGUGGAGCCGGUGGAGUUGCUCGACGUUGAAGACCCAACGGAGCCGCCCCACCUCUACCACGAGUUCCUGUAGCCCAUGGGCCACUUCGAGCCGUCGCCGCACCGCCGGCGGCGCCGCAUGGAGAGCUUAAGGUGCGGGGAGUAGGGGAGGUCCUAGACUCGUUUAGGGUGCGUGCUUUCGUUCCCCCAGCGCUCUUCUUCUUGUUUGUAGUACGUCACGGGACGAAGCCCUCGUCUCGUCCGCAUCAUGUGAUGACCAAGACCAAUAUGAGAGACAUACAUUUCAAUUAAAAGUGUGUGGGUAGACACGAUUUCCUCAUAUUAAAGCAGUUGACUUCGAAAUUAAUGUCUUUUAACUUGGGCCUAAUUAUAAUGUACUGCACGGAGAAAAUCUACCGAUCCGAACCAUAACGACUAACUAGAUGAGACAAAGGACGAUGACAUGUAUUCGACAAAUGUCAUAAUAUUGGUGACUUGAUCUAUCGCAGUAGGUAGUGGCUUCUUUAGGUCCGUCGUCGAAUCAUGUUUUUAGUGCACGCGGCGUGUGCACGCUGCCAUUGAUCAAACGAUUUUGCUCUUUUGCUCGGGGGCUGGGGGACUAAAAGUGAGUUCACUUUGUUCUCACAGCGUGUUCGAAUGUACUGGGGCCGGUGUGAAUUAAAGUUUGCCGGAGUCUUGACUUUGAAGAGUUGUGGUUUUCUUUGACAAUGAUGGUG
rnacentral:rRNA from 1 species